CAGCAGUGGGGAAUCUUCCGCAAUGGACGAAAGUCUGACGGAGCAACGCCGCGUGAGUGAUGACGGCCUUCGGGUUGUAAAGCUCUGUUAAUCGGGACGAAUGGUUCUUGUGCAAAUAGUGCGAGGAUUUGACGGUACCGGAAUAGAAAGCCACGGCUAACUACGUGCCAGCAGCCGCGGUAAUACGUAGGUGGCAAGCGUUGUCCGGAAUUAUUGGGCGUAAAGCGCGCGCAGGCGGAUUGGUCAGUCUGUCUUAAAAGUUCGGGGCUUAACCCCGUGAUGGGAUGGAAACUGCCAAUCUAGAGUAUCGGAGAGGAAAGUGGAAUUCCUAGUGUAGCGGUGAAAUGCGUAGAUAUUAGGAAGAACACCAGUGGCGAAGGCGACUUUCUGGACGAAAACUGACGCUGAGGCGCGAAAGCCAGGGGAGCGAACGGGAUUAGA
rnacentral:rRNA from 1 species